UACGAAGGGGGCUAGCGUUGUUCGGAAUUACUGGGCGUAAAGCGUAUGCAGGCGGACUUUUAAGUCGGGGGUGAAAUCCCGAGGCUCAACCUCGGAACUGCCUUCGAUACUGAAAGUCUAGAGUCCGGGAGAGGUGAGUGGAACUGCGAGUGUAGAGGUGAAAUUCGUAGAUAUUCGCAAGAACACCAGUGGCGAAGGCGGCUCACUGGCCCGGUACUGACGCUGAGAUACGAAAGCGUGGGGAGCAAACAGG
rnacentral:rRNA from 1 species